CGCGCGCACACACACACCACCCACACACACCACCACGCCCUGUCCCCUUUCUCCACCCUGCAAGCUAGUUGCAUUUACCUCACAGAGCCUGGGCUGCGACUUGAAAGACUUUAGGCAGCAACAGAGUGACCCUGGGGGUGCUCUUGACCGACAGCCGCACCUCCGGCGUCUAGGACCUCCGAGCAGGGAUGCAUCUGGGGGUCUAGGGAAGCACUUCCACCCCCUCCUCUCCUCAACCCUGGCAGGAUGUGCCCGAAAUGCCAGCUCCUCCUUGGUGUUCUCCUUUCAAGAUUUGAAUUCAAAUCCCAUAUUGGCAGCCCUGAUACCGCUGGGGGAAGGGUGAGGCUACCGCUGCUUCAAGACAGUGACGUUUCUCUCCGGUCAGCUGUCAGGAGCGCUGCUGGGUCUUACUGGGGAUCUGGCCAGCCUUGGGGACCCUUGGGGCCCUGGCCCAGUGGAAGCUUGUGCCUGAGGAACAUGGAGGCCACGCCAAUGAGUUACUUCCAGAGUCUUCAAGAGUGCCAACUGGGACCAGGACCCCAGGCCACAGCCCCCCACACCGUCCUGGACCUGGAUUCUGACUGUGGUUCCACUGUACCCCUCACCUUAAUCUCUGGUUCUAACCAGACCUGAGCCUAGACUUCCACUUUUUCCUUCACCCCUGUGAGGGCCUGGGAACACUAGGUGGGCAGGGUUUGAGCCCACAGGACCUGCACACAAACUUCCCCACCUCUUGGACUUGGGGACAGGAUCUGUGCCUCAACCCAGACCAGCCUUGUAGGGAUAUGUUCCAAGAAUAGAGAAGAGUCUUAUGGGGAAGGGGGAGGAAGGGAAGUAUGAAUAUUUACCUCUGACCAAUAAUAGAGGUGCCCUGGUCCC
rnacentral:sRNA from 1 species